UACGUAGGGUGCGAGCGUUAAUCGGAAUUACUGGGCGUAAAGCGUGCGCAGGCGGUUCGUUAAGUCAGAUGUGAAAGCCCCGGGCUCAACCUGGGAACUGCAUUUGAAACUGGCGGGCUUGAGUGUGGCAGAGGGGGGUGGAAUUCCACGUGUAGCAGUGAAAUGCGUAGAGAUGUGGAGGAACACCGAUGGCGAAGGCAGCCCCCUGGGCCAACACUGACGCUCAGGCACGAAAGCGUGGGGAGCAAACAGG
rnacentral:rRNA from 1 species